rnacentral:rRNA from 1 species
GCUCCAAGCUUGCUUGGGGUGGAUCAGUGGCGAACGGGUGAGUAACACGUGAGCAACCUGCCCCAGACUCCGGAAUAAGCGCUGGAAACGGCGUCUAAUACUGGAUAUGAGAUCAGUCCGCAUGGGCAUGGUCUGGAAAGUUUUUCGGUCUGGGAUGGGCUCGCGGCCUAUCAGCUUGUUGGUGAGGUAAUGGCUCACCAAGGCGACGACGGGUAGCCGGCCUGAGAGGGCGACCGGCCACACUGGGACUGAGACACGGCCCAGACUCCUACGGGAGGCAGCAGUGGGGAAUAUUGCACAAUGGGCGAAAGCCUGAUGCAGCGACGCCGCGUGAGGGAUGACGGCCUUCGGGUUGUAAACCUCUUUCAGCAGGGAAGAAGCGCAAGUGACGGUACCUGCAGAAGAAGCACCGGCUAACUACGUGCCAGCAGCCGCGGUAAUACGUAGGGUGCGAGCGUUGUCCGGAAUUAUUGGGCGUAAAGGGCUUGUAGGCGGUUUGUCGCGUCUGCUGUGAAAAUCCGAGGCUCAACCUCGGACUUGCAGUGGGUACGGGCAGACUAGAGUGUGGUAGGGGAGACUGGAAUUCCUGGUGUAGCGGUGAAAUGCGCAGAUAUCAGGAGGAACACCGAUGGCGAAGGCAGGUCUCUGGGCCACUACUGACGCUGAGAAGCGAAAGCAUGGGGAGCGAACAGGAUUAGAUACCCUGGUAGUCCAUGCCGUAAACGUUGGGCGCUAGGUGUGGGACUCAUUCCACGAGUUCCGUGCCGCAGCUAACGCAUUAAGCGCCCCGCCUGGGGAGUACGGCCGCAAGGCUAAAACUCAAAGGAAUUGACGGGGGCCCGCACAAGCGGCGGAGCAUGCGGAUUAAUUCGAUGCAACGCGAAGAACCUUACCAAGGCUUGACAUAUACCGGUAACACCCAGAGAUGGGUGCCCCUUUUUGGUCGGUAUACAGGUGGUGCAUGGUUGUCGUCAGCUCGUGUCGUGAGAUGUUGGGUUAAGUCCCGCAACGAGCGCAACCC